rnacentral:rRNA from 1 species
CGUGUAGGCGGCUUGGAAAGUCUUACGUGAAAGCCUGCGGCUCAACCGCAGAAGUGCGUAGGAAACUUCCUCGCUAGAGUCCGGAAGAGGAGAGCGGAAUUCCUGGUGUAGCGGUGGAAUGCGCAGAUAUCAGGAGGAACACCCGUGGCGAAGGCGGCUCUCUGGGACGGUACUGACGCUGAGACGCGAAAGCGUGGGGAGCGAACAGGAUUAGAUACCCUGGUAGUCCACGCCGUAAACGAUGGGCGCUAGGUGUGGGAGGUGUCAACUCCUUCCGUGCCGAAGCUAACGCAUUAAGCGCCCCGCCUGGGGAGUACGGUCGCAAGACUAAA